UUCUGGUUGAUCCUGCCGGACCUGACUGCUAUCGGAUUGAUACUAAGCCAUGCGAGUCAUUGUAGCAAUACAAGGCAUACGGCUCAGUAACGCGUAGUCAACCUAACCUAUGGACGGGAAUAACCUCGGGAAACUGAGAAUAAUGCCCGAUAGAACAUUAUGCCUGGAAUGGUUUAUGUUCCAAAUGAUUUAUCGCCGUAGGAUGGGACUGCGGCCUAUCAGUUUGUUGGUGAGGUAAUGGCCCACCAAGACUAUUACAGGUACGGGCUCUGAGAGGAGUAGCCCGGAGAUGGGUACUGAGACACGGACCCAGGCCCUAUGGGGCGCAGCAGGCGAGAAAACUUUGCAAUGUGCGAAAGCACGACAAGGUUAAUCCGAGUGAUUUGUGCUAAACAAAUCUUUUGUUAGUCCUAGAAACACUAACGAAUAAGGGGUGGGCAAGUUCUGGUGUCAGCCGCCGCGGUAAAACCAGCACCUCAAGUGGUCAGGAUGAUUAUUGGGCCUAAAGCAUCCGUAGCCGGCUCUGUAAGUUUUCGGUUAAAUCUGUACGCUCAACGUACAGGCUGCCGGGAAUACUGCAAAGCUAGGGAGUGGGAGAAGUAGACGGUACUCGGUAGGAAGUGGUAAAAUGCUUUGAUCUAUCGAUGACCACCUGUGGCGAAGGCGGUCUACUAGAACACGUCCGACGGUGAGGGAUGAAAGCUGGGGGAGCAAACCGGAUUAGAUACCCGGGUAGUCCCAGCUGUAAACUAUGCAAACUCAGUGAUGCAUUGGCUUGUGGCCAAUGCAGUGCUGCAGGGAAGCCGUUAAGUUUGCCGCCUGGGAAGUACGUACGCAAGUAUGAAACUUAAAGGAAUUGGCGGGGGAGCACCACAAGGGGUGAAGCCUGCGGUUCA
rnacentral:rRNA from 1 species